rnacentral:ncRNA from 1 species
CCCGCUGAGUUUAAGCAUAUAAUUAAGUGGAGGAAAAUAAACUUACAAGGUUUCCCCUAGUAAUGGUGAGCAAACCGGAAAGAGCCCACCAUGAAAAUUGGGUGACACCUCCUGAAUUGUAGUCUGUAUAAGCGUCCUUAGCGGUGGAUCGGGCCCAAGUCCCCUAGAAGGGGGUGCCUAAGAGGGUGACAACCUCAUCGAGCCGGGACCCUGCCGCACCACGAGGCAUUGUCAGGGAGUUGGGUUUUUUGGGGAAUGCAACCCUAAUCAGGUGGUAAAUUUUGUCCAAGGCUAAAUAUGGGCGAGAGACCAAUAGCGAACAAGUAACGCGAGG